rnacentral:rRNA from 1 species
GAUGAACGCUGACAGAAUGCUUAACACAUGCCAGUCUUUGGCGAAGCUGUGCUUGCACCGCCUAGCCAAGGCGGACGGGUGAGUAACGCGUAAGGAACUUGCCCUGCAGUCAGGGAUAACAGACGGAAACGACUGAUAAGACCUGGUAAAGUCAGGCGGACUCAUGUCCAGCCUGAUGAAAAGAGAUGCUGCAGGAGAGCCUUGCGUCCUAUUAGCUUGUUGGUGGGGUAACGGCCCACCAAGGCGAUGAUAGGUAGCCGGCCUGAGAGGGUGGACGGCCACAAGGGGACUGAGAUACGGCCCUUACUCCUACGGGAGGCAGCAGUGGGGAAUAUUGGACAAUGGGGGCAACCCUGAUCCAGCAAUUCUGUGUGCACGAUGAAGGUUUUCGGAUUGUAAAGUGCUUUCAGCAGGGAAGAAAAAAAUGACGGUACCUGCAGAAGAAGCGACGGCUAAAUACGUG